UUUCCGUAGGUGAACCUGCGGAAGGAUCAUUAUUGUAUAACCGAGGUGCGAGGGCUGUCGCUGACCCGAAAGGUCGUGCACGCCCGAGUGCCCUCACACACAUCCAUCUCACCCCUAAGCGCACCACCGCGUGGGUCCCCCUUUGGCUUGUUCGGAGGGGGGCUUACGUUUUCACACAAACUUUGUAUGCAGUGUAGAAUGUAUUUUUUGUUUUUGCGAUCACGCAAUCAAUACAACUUUCAACAACGGAUCUCUUGGCUCUG
rnacentral:misc_RNA from 1 species